UACAGAGGUCCCAAGCGUUGUUCGGAUUCACUGGGCGUAAAGGGUGCGUAGGCGGUCGGGUAAGUCUGAUGUGAAAUCUCCAAGCUCAACUUGGAAAUGGCAUCGGAUACUAUUCGGCUCGAGGAAUGGAGGGGAGACUGGAAUACUUGGUGUAGCAGUGAAAUGCGUAGAGAUCGUAAGGAAGACCAGUGGCGAAGGCGGGUCUCUGGACAGUUCCUGACGCUGAGGCACGAAAGCUAGGGGAGCAAACAGG
rnacentral:rRNA from 1 species